UUCAGGAAUCUCCGCUCCAAAACUCAGUGAGACUACUGUUACUUGAAAAUCCUAGGAUGAUUUCUUUUCUUUUUGGUUCUGAGCUUCGAUACAAGGGGGAUUUUUCAGCUUUUCCUCUAUGUAUUGAAAAGCAUCUCAAGAUCAGCUUAAUCAAUCAGUGGGAAACAACAAAAACACAAAAUGGCUUCUUAUGGAUUAGGUUGAUGCUCAUGUUGUGGAAGAAGAAGAUGGAUAAACAUCAAAUUACCUGGAAGACACAGGAUUGCUGAGGGAACGUGACUUAUGUAUAUAUGUUGUUGAUCAUCUAAAGCUGAUUCAUAACUGUCUAUUAGUUGGUGUUACAACCAUUUACUGUUGCCGAGGAUGAACUGCUUUUGGUACCUGUUGUUUGGGAGUGUUUCCUUAACUUAUAUGCAACACCAAUAAGUUCACUUUCCUCAAGGAGGAUGCAUACUCUGGGAGAUACCACUUUUAGUGGCUUUCUGCACAGUACUCCUGUGAAAUAUCUGAUCUUGUGGCAUCCAGGUGCCAGGUUUUGUGUACGAAGAGAAUCUGGCAUAAAUUCACACCUCAACAAAUUAGCUUCUGAAAGGUUCUUAAGCCGCGAACUGAAUAUGAGUACGAGUUUUGACAAUGCAGAUUUGAACCCCACUCCUAUGAGAAGAUUUAGGAAUACUAAUUCCUUCAAUUCACCCAGAAUAAAGGAGCUUGCUAGACAUUCAAGAACCAAUGGUUCUGCAGAUAACCGAGAAGCUCUGAGAAAUAUUCAAAGUGGGGAUUUUUCUUCUGAUGUUGAGAUUUUGGAACCUCAUGCCAGCAAUCUUGGGAGAAUCGCAAAAGUUAAGGAAUCAGGACAGGGGGGAAACGGUGGCUGUGAGUCGAUCGACCUAAUAAUGGACUUCCAGUUCAGUUUGAAGAUCUCUUCCUUACCUGUUAAGGGAAGGAUGAUUCUCGACCAUCAUAUCAUGAUAGGAGCCGUAUCUUUCCUGUUUGUUACAGAUCUAGUAGGCAUAAUAAGUUAACCAGAUCUCUUUUUGUGUGAUGUACUAAAUGGUGGAAGCUCUGGACCAAUCUUCAAGGUCGGACAAUGUCCUUACUCUGCAUCGGUCAUACCUGAUGCGUUAGUGUUUCGGUGUUGACAUGUGUGGCUGACGAAGUUUCAUAGAGGAAACCUGUGGUGUAAAAGAGGAAAGGCGUGUCAAGACAAUGUCUGAUAUUGUCAUGAAAAAAUGUCGUUAUCUAUUGCGCCAUACUAUUCUUGAAGAUGAGGAAAAAACACUCUGCAAUUUGCUUGGAACAAGAACAACCUCACUAAACCCUUAUGCUAAUGAGGAUGAUGGCAUUCCUGGAUAUCGUGCAAUGGUAUCUCUUGCAUUGGAUUUUUAAAUCAUUGAUUUGAGGUUAGCAGUAGGUUGCGCUGGAUCUUAUGAAGCUUUUCUGGAGGUUGUAUGUGAGGCUUGGCACAACAUACGCACUGCUUAUGGAGACCAGCCAGAUUUGAUGCUUUUCGCUGAGCAAUUAUCUGGAGAUUUUGAGUUGCUGUGUGAAGAAGAGGUGCUUUAUCUCGUACAGAAAAUUAAGGGGCAUGCUUAAGCGCCGCAUCAAGGAAAUCAAUGAGCUUCUUUGUGCAAGGAGAUCCCUAGAGCUUCCUGUGGUGUCUGCAGAUUCUGUGGCAUCAACAAAAGUGAUGAAACUGUGUUACUGUGUGAUCAUUGCGAUUCUGAGUAUCAUAAAAGUAGUUAAGUAAAGGCACCACCCGAUACUCACGUCAUUCAUCAUCGCAAGCGGAAGAGAUAUCAAGGUGAAGGAACUUGUAUUUUCUCAGAGACAAUGAACAAGUUAGCGGCUUCUAUGGAAGAAAAAAGAGUAUUGGAACUAUAGCCUGGAGGAGGUGUAUUCGUGACACCUUAUUUGCAUAUAUUCUCAAGUUUGUUAUGAAGCUGAAUCCCGGAUAGUCCUAUAUCUGUUCAUUGCUAAUAAUUUCUUUUGUAGGCCACGUCAUUAUUGCCCCAUUACAUAAUCAAGAUUGUUUUAUUUAUUUCUACAAGUAACUUCUUAUCUAGUUUUAGAAAAUUAGCAAUUCAAUUCCCCGAAAUUGUUGAAAGGAUCUUUUCGUUGGUGAUACUGUCUGCUCUACCUUUCAGAAACGACCUUCCUUGUUAAUAGAAACCGAUAUCGUCAACCUUUUUGCUUGGUUCUCACUUCUCAGUAAAAGAUUUUGUUAUCGAUUACACCAUGUUGUUUUCUACUAAUAGUAAAGAUGGAUUUUUUCAGAUGUUAAUAAUAAAGCGUCGAAUAUAAGUCCUGAAUUGUUUGAUCAAAACGGUUUAGGCAACUCAGAAAGUUGAAAAGAAUGUUAUGUUAUUUAAUAAAUAUACAUUUUUCCUUCUUCUGGUAGAUGUGCUUAGGGCCUUUUGUGGAUACUUAUGUGGUAUUAAUUCACUUUUUUUGUUGAUGUAGAGGGUCUUCUUGCUGUAAUUUUUGAGCGACCAAGUGUUGGGCUCGGCCAUUGUUUAUGAACACCUUGAUCAAUAUGCCGAAAUGUCAGCUGAUGGGCAGCAGAAACUGCGUUCUUUGUCUAUAAAAAUGAGAAGCAUAAAGUAUAAAGAAGAAGUCCUCACAAAAGAGAGCAAAUUCAUGUUUAAUGUAGUUGGUGAAGCUGGAAAAGUAGCAGUUGCCAGUAUGCUUCUGAACCUUAGCAGGAGUAUGAGUCAACACCAACUUUGAAUAAUAGUUGCAACUUCUGCACACCCUUCUCUGGUAUGAUUCAGCUUGGUGAUGUUGCCGAGGAAAAUGAUUCCAACAAUGUGAAUAAAAUUCUAAUUGGUCAUUUGGGAAGAGGAUCAUUGUAAAGGAAGUAGAAACCAGUGUUUGGCUGCAGAUAGUGAUGGUCGAAAGACAGAUUUGUCUUUCAGUUCAGGAUGGCAAUCUUGUGCUUGAAAGUCUUUUCCCAGAUAAGGCUUCUAAAAGUAGUGAAUCAAACAAACACAGCGAGCCGAGGUACAUCUACCAGCUACCCAGCUGUUAUUGGGUUUUCGUCAUGGGUCUACUAUGAUUCUGAUGUAGAAUAGUAGCGAUCCAAGAGAGAGAGAAAGAGAGAGUUAAAGGAAUCGAUUCUGCAGAUGCACAGGUUGAAGUCUUAGUCCUCUCAACAAGCUGGAAAUCCUAUACUUGAUGACAGGCAACUGGGUUGAGGUCUUUUGAUGGGGGGAAGGGUGGAACCUCUCUUGCAACCUAAGCUUCAGUGAUGUAUGUAUGGUCCAUGCAUGGAGCCAGAAACCUCCGAAUCUCUGAUAUCAUCCCUAAGAGGCGGGUUAGGAAGUUGAAAGCAACUUAUGAUGAUAAAUAUAUAGGUGUGAAUGCUAGAACUGGUCUGGCCUUCCAGACCCCUUACUUGCCAUCAGACCUCUUGCACCAAAUCGGAACUCGAGGGCAUAAUAAUGGGAAAUGCAACUCCUAAUUACCAUCCAGUGAUGAAAGCAAGGAAACUGAUGAUCACACAAAAGGGAAAAGGAAAGUAAGCACCAACCGUGAGGAGCAUGCAUGUGAAACAAGCAGAAUUGAGGCAUCAAAGAGUGGAAAAUUAGACACUCGUUCUAGAGUGAUAAAAUUUCAAAAGAAGGAAAUGGUUUGUCCAUGUUACCUGGAGGAGAUUAAAAAAACUUCAUCACGAUGAGGCCAACAAGGAAUUAGUGAAAGGAAUAGGACUCAUUGGUUCAGAUGGGAUUCCAUCCCUUGUCCCAUCCACAUCUCUGUAUCUCCAUGAUCCAACACUAAUUUUGAACAUUGUCCAACGGAAAGAAGCUGAAAAAGGUACUAGGUGUAACAUUAUGGAGGAGGUAUGUCAACAGAAAAACAAGACUGUAUCAGUUGAUAAAAAUCCCACAGACUCCGCAAAAUGAAGUGUUAAGAACGGUCUCAAGGAGGAACAGCCAAGAGCCAAGGUAUCAGUUUAAGAAAGUUCAAACAAGAAAGAUCCAGAAUCUUCAAAGAAGAAAACUCCAGCGCCUAAGGGUCCCAGCUGUGCAGUGCCUGAACGUUCAUUGAGGCAUGUGGUGGGAAAGGUUGCUCCAAUUUUAAGGCAGCUCAAGAGUAACUUACUCUAUAUGGAUGCUGCUCUUCCAGAAGAAGCACUCAGGCCACUAAAGUCUGACUCACUAAAAGGUUCUGUUUGGCGUGCAUUUACUAAAUCUGCGGAGUCAGUAAUUGAGGCACAGGAUAGCUGAGGGAAGAUGUACUUAUGUAUAUGUUGAGCAUCUAAAGGUGAUUCAUAACCGUCUCUUAGUUGGUGUCCAACCUUGUACUGGUUGGCGAAGGAUGAACUGCUGAUUAAAGUUUAAAGAUAUUUCUGCUGAUUGAAAGUCUUGGAGUAUCGGCUUAACUCAUCUCAUAGACCAAUAAGUUUACUUUUCUACAAAGAGGUAGAAAUCAAAACGUACUAGUGCUGAAUUUCAUUUUUGUGAUGCCUUUGGAUUCAUAUACUCUUGUUAAUACAACAUUGUCACAUCGGCUGGAUUAGGUUGUUGCUCAUGCUGCGGAAGAAGCUAGAGAAAACCAUUUCGACACCAAAUUUUAAAGUAAGAGGAGAAUCAAGUUUGACUUUGGAGGGUAUUGGUUAUUUGGAGAAUCAAGUUUGACUUUGGAGGGUAUUGGUUAUUUUCAACAGUCAAAUAGAAGUUCUCUUGAUUAAGUUGUCAUUGUCUUUCAUUUUGUAACUUUUGAAAUUGUAAAUGAGAGGAUAGGCAAUUGUGAA